rnacentral:rRNA from 1 species
CCUGACUGCUAUCGGAUUGAUACUAAGCCAUGCGAGUCAUUGUAGCAAUACAAGGCAUACGGCUCAGUAACGCGUAGUCAACCUACCCUAUGGACGGGGAUAACCUCGGGAAACUGAGAAUAAUACCCGAUAGAACAUUAUUCCUGGAAUGGUUUAUGUUUCAAAUAAUUUAUUGCCGUAGGAUGGGACUGCGGCCUAUCAGUUUGUUGGUGAGGUAAUGGCCCACCAAGACUAUUACAGGUACGGGCUCUGAGAGGAGUAGCCCGGAGAUGGGUACUGAGACACGGACCCAGGCCCUAUGGGGCGCAGCAGGCGAGAAAACUUUGCAAUGUGCGAAAGCACGACAAGGUUAAUCCGAGUGGUUUCUGCUAAAGGAACCUUUUGACAGUCAUAGAACCACUGUUGAAUAAGGGGUGGGCAAGUUCUGGUGUCAGCCGCCGCGGUAAAACCAGCACCUCAAGUGGUCAGGAUGAUUAUUGGGCCUAAAGCAUCCGUAGCCUGCUUUGUCAGUUUUCGGUUAAAUCCAUACGCUCAACGUAUGGGCUGCCGGGAAUACUACAAAGCUAGGGAGUGGGAGAGGUAGACGGUACUCGGUAGGAAGGGGUAAAAUCCUUUGAUCUAUUGAUGACCACCUGUGGCGAAGGCGGUCUACCAGAACACGUCCGACGGUGAGGGAUGAAAGCUGGGGGAGCAAACCGGAUUAGAUACCCGGGUAGUCCCAGCUGUAAACUAUGCAAACUCGGUGAUGCAUUGGCUUGAUGCCAAUGCAGUGCCGCAGGGAAGCCGUUAAGUUUGCCGCCUGGGAAGUACGUACGCAAGUAUGAAACUUAAAGGAAUUGGCGGGGGAGCACCACAAGGGGUGAAGCCUGCGGUUC